GGGGGGGAGGUGGCACCCAUGGGUGGGACCUGGCAGCCGUGGGGGGGUCCUGAGCACCCAUGGGUGGGGCCUGGAAUCGUGGGGGGGGUCAUGGGCACCCAUGGGUGCUCCCUGUGGCCAUAUAUGUGGCUCAUAGAUGGGUGCAGAGCUCACAUUGAAGCCACGUGGGUCGUGAAGGGGGGGGGGGGGGGGAGAGUGGCAGCCGUGGCACCCAUGGGUGGGGCCUGGCACGCAUGGGGGGGGUCAUGGGCACCCAUGGGUGCUCCCUGUGGCCAUACACGUGGCUCAUAGAUGGGUGCAGCGCUCACAUUGAAGCCACGUGGGUCGUAAAGGGGGGAAGGUGGCACCCAUGGGUGGGUACUGAGCAC
ensembl:lncRNA